GACGAACGCUGGCGGCGUGCUUAACACAUGCAAGUCGAACGGUAAGGCCCUUCGGGGUACACGAGUGGCGAACGGGUGAGUAACACGAGGGUGAUCUGCCCUGCACUUCGGGAUAAGCCUGGGAAACUGGGUCUAAUACCGGAUAGGACCACUGCCUGCAUGGGUGGUGGUGGAAAGCUUUUGCGGUGUGGGAUGGGCCCGCGGCCUAUCAGCUUGUUGGUGGGGUGAUGGCCUACCAAGGCGACGACGGGUAGCCGGCCUGAGAGGGUGACCGGCCACACUGGGACUGAGCUACGGCCCGGACUCCUACGGGAGGCAGCAGUGGGGAAUAUUGCACAAUGGGCGCAAGCCUGAUGCAGCGACGCCGCGUGAGGGAUGACGGCCUUCGGGUUGUAAACCUCUUUCAGCAUCGACGAAGCGAAAGGGACGGUAGGUGCAGAAGAAGGACCGGCCAACUACGUGCCAGCAGCCGCCGUAA
rnacentral:rRNA from 1 species